GCUAAGAAUAUUCCGCAAUGGACGAAAGUCUGACGGAGCGACGCCGCGUGGAUGACGAAGGCCGAAAGGUUGUAAAGUCCUUUUGUCGAUGAAGAAUAAGUGCGGUAGGGAAUGACCGUAUGAUGACGUUAGUCGGCGAAUAAGCCCCGGCUAAUUACGUGCCAGCAGCCGCGGUAACACGUAAGGGGCAAGCGUUGUUCGGAAUUAUUGGGCGUAAAGGGUACGUAGGCGGUUAUGUAAGCCCGGCGUGAAAUCCUGCAGCUUAACUGUAGAGCUGCGAUGGGAACUGCAAAACUGGAGUCAUGGAAGGGAAGUUAGAAUUCCGGGUGUAGGGGUGAAAUCUGUAGAUAUCUGGAAGAAUACCGGUGGCGAAGGCGAACUUCUGGCCAAUGACUGACGCUGAGGUACGAAAGUGCGGGGAGCAAACAGGAUUAGAUACCCGUGUAGUCC
rnacentral:rRNA from 1 species